rnacentral:rRNA from 1 species
AGUGAACGCUGGCGGUAGGCCUAACACAUGCAAGUCGAACGGCAGCACAGUAAGAGCUUGCUCUUACGGGUGGCGAGUGGCGGACGGGUGAGGAAUACAUCGGAAUCUACUUUUUCGUGGGGGAUAACGUAGGGAAACUUACGCUAAUACCGCAUACGACCUACGGGUGAAAGCAGGGGAUCUUCGGACCCUGCGCGAUUGAAUGAGCCGAUGUCGGAUUAGCUAGUUGGCGGGGUAAAGGCCCACCAAGGCGACGAUCCGUAGCUGGUCUGAGAGGAUGAUCAGCCACACUGGAACUGAGACACGGUCCAGACUCCUACGGGAGGCAGCAGUGGGGAAUAUUGGACAAUGGGCGCAAACCUGAUCCAGCCAUACCGCGUGGGUGAAGAAGGCCUUCGGGUUGUAAAGCCCUUUUGUUGGGAAAGAAAAGCAGCAGGUUAAUACCCCGCUGUUCUGACGGUACCCAAAGAAUAAGCACCGGCUAACUUCGUG